rnacentral:lncRNA from 1 species
CCGCUUAACAUAUUUAAUACUCAAUUUAAAAUGAUGACUAGAUGAACAUUCGUUUCGUCUAGAAUGAUCAGACAUAAGAUGUACAUUGUAAUACCCCAUGUUUCCUUAAAUACUCAAAUUCAUAUUAGUUGAGAUCAACUGAGUUCCUAUGUGCUCUAAAAGUUAUCGGUUGGGAUAAAUAGAAUGAAUAUUGAAUUCAGAUUA